GUAGGUCAGGUGUGAGUAGAGCAGGAAGUAAUCCUCGGCCCGGUUCAGCUUGAGCCAGGAGCCAACCAGCGAGCGGCCGGUUCCGGACAGCGAGCGCGAGCGAAGGUUGGUGGCCGCGUGAAUAUCUGAGGAGACGGAAAUAAAAACCGGUGAGACCAGUUCACCUUCGUCCUCCUCCUCCCUGAAGAACUCCUCGCUGUCGUUGGCAGAGUGAGACUUCUUCAUCUCUGCAAUCCUGUUUCUGGGAACUUUUCUCCUCAGUGAUGGAGAGAAGAAGGACGGACGGUUCCUCUCUGGGGUCGGAGGCGUGCUGAACGACGUCACCUGACAACAGCAGCCACGUUUACCACAGGAGGCCGAUGAGAUGCUCUUCAGGAAGAUCCCAGGUGUCCAAAUGCCGGGAAUCGCAUCGCUCACAGACCUUUUAGAGAGCCAGAAUGGUCGCCAUGGCGACGCCCGUUUGCGCGCGCAGAGCUGACGGGAUGAAAAAGCUUCAUGGAGGAAACAAGACAACUAGUCGAUGAUAAAAUCUCUGUGUUCUUGUUGGUAAAAAAACUUUAAAAAUGUUGAUUUUUGACAGACUGAGGUUCAUGUUUCCUAAAAGGAAAGUGAGGAGAGGCGCCGAUCUUCAUUUAGUAUUUGGAUGUCAAACACUAUGAUCGUCCCAGAAACUCUUCAUGCGACUGUCAUGGAAAGUUCAACCCUUUUAAUAAUUUUUUAAAGACCAAAUUAAACAUAAAACUCUUUGAAAGAAGUAGCAGAAACAUUAAAACAAGAAGAUUAAAAUGAACCAAACUAUUUUGAAUGAAACCAAAUACUGAACUGGAUGUACUGUAAAGGAUGCAAGUGAUUGUUUCUGUGUACAUUAUUUACUUACUUAUUGGCAAAACCCUGAAAACUUCAGGAAAAUUAAAUACAUACUAAUUAUGAUAUACACGAUCAGCUGCUCCAGGUUAAAGAGUGCUAAGAACUCUGAGUUGCUUUCCUCUGCUGGUAAAACUGAUAAGAGACUAAUUAAAAUGAGGAUGAUGAAAGCAGGAUGCAAUGAGGCAUGGCGGCUUCAUACGCAGAGAGGAGGUUGGUGAACCUGAAAAUGCUGGAACAGGAAGAGGACUCAAAAGGGAAAGUUUUAAUUUACGGUUAACAAUGAUUAAGGUAAUGGCUGGAAAAACCAGAUCAUGUGGUUGGAGGAUUUCCUGUUAGACGUGCCUGUGAUCUGUCUCGGUUCAGGAAUCUAACCAGGACAGAAACAUCGGGGCAGAGCCAGAAUAAUCCUAGAGAUCUACCAGGAAGAGACCGAGAGAAACUCUGUGGAGGCUGAAUAUCUGAUGGAAAUAAAUGCAUGGAGAUCCAAGUUCUUUCAUUUGCUUAAGAGGGACAUUGUGCGCUAAUGAACAUUUUGAACAACAUCAAUGUAGAUGCAUGUAGCAGUCGCUGGUAUUGGAUCUGGAAAAUCAAUUGUUGGCCCCUUUCCACUGAUAAAAUGUUGAGAGCA